GGCGCUUUGGCGGAGUGGUUAACGCGAUGGCCUGCUAAUUCAGUUUCCCUCGGGAGCGUGUGUUCGAAUCACACAGGCGUCG
rnacentral:tRNA from 1 species